GACGAACGCUGGCGGCGUGCUUAACACAUGCAAGUCGAACGGAAAGGCCCUGCUUUUGUGGGGUGCUCGAGUGGCGAACGGGUGAGUAACACGUGAGUAACCUGCCCUUGACUUUGGGAUAACUUCAGGAAACUGGGGCUAAUACCGGAUAGGAGCUCCUGCUGCAUGGUGGGGGUUGGAAAGUUUCGGCGGUUGGGGAUGGACUCGCGGCUUAUCAGCUUGUUGGUGGGGUAGUGGCUUACCAAGGCUUUGACGGGUAGCCGGCCUGAGAGGGUGACCGGGCACAAUGGGCCUGGGGAAGCGGCCCGAGGGCCUCGGGGGGGAGGGGGGGGGGACUGUGCCCAAAUGGCCGAAGGCUGAAGGAAGGAUGCCGGGUGGGGGAAGGCGGUCUUUGGGGUGGAAACCCCGUUCGCCUGGGAAGCACCGUGAGUGACGGUAACUGGUUAAAAAGGCACGGCUAACUACGUG
rnacentral:rRNA from 1 species